GACGAACGCUGGCGGCGCGCCUAACACAUGCAAGUCGAACGGAGCUGAGAGAAGCUUGCUUUUCUUAGCUUAGUGGCGAACGGGUGAGUAACGCGUGAGUAACCUGCCCUGGAGUGGGGGACAACAGUUGGAAACGACUGCUAAUACCGCAUAAGCCCACGAUCCGGCAUCGGAUUGAGGGAAAAGGAUUUAUUCGCUUCAGGAUGGACUCGCGUCCAAUUAGCUAGUUGGUGAGGUAACGGCCCACCAAGGCGACGAUUGGUAGCCGGACUGAGAGGUUGAACGGCCACAUUGGGACUGAGACACGGCCCAGACUCCUACGGGAGGCAGCAGUGGGGGAUAUUGCACAAUGGGGGAAACCCUGAUGCAGCGACUCCGCGUGGAGGAAGAAGGUUUUCGGAUUGUAAACUCCUGUCGUUAGGGACGAUAAUGACGGUACCUAACAAGAAAGCACCGGCUAACUACGUG
rnacentral:rRNA from 1 species